GUGUGUGUGUGUGUGUGUGUGUGUGUGUGUGUGUGCGCGUGCAUUGUGAGUCUAUUACCUGAUGCGCUAACCCUGAUUAUCUUUUAUCAUCAACACUAGGACUCUUCUCUACAGUGUUCUGCACUACUGCAGCACUUGAUUUUUUUUAAGAUUAAGUUGGUCUGGGAACAUCUUAAAGAAUCUCCUGCACUUGCUGGAAAAAAAGGAAUUGUUAAGAAGUACUCCGAACUGGGACAGGCCCUAUUAAGUGUGGUUAUGUAUGUGUCUGGUUGUCAGUGCAUAUGGUCUGAAUGGAUGUGUGCGAUUGCAUGUUUAUUGUGCUUAAAAUUGUGGGUUUAAUGGGGGAUAUUUAGGCUUUUGACACAAAUAUAUAAGGCUUUAGCUAUAGCGCUCAAUCACCCAUCUGCACUGCUGAGACAGUGAUGAGUGAAUGCUUUCUGAGAUUAACACUCAACUCUCAGAUUUUUCUUCGACAUAAACCAUUCGCUUCAUCUCGUGUUGAUUUAUGUUAUCUGUUUCUUAGUUUUUGGAUGUGGUGAUUUUUCUUUCCCUCUCUCUCUUCAAAGAACAAAUACAGUGUGAUGCAGUGAGCUGACCUGGUUUAGGCCAGAGCCCGCAUGUGUUCCUCUGACCAAUAGGGAGCGCAACAGAGUACUGUUUGCUGCUAAAGUGUGUGAUUGAAUCAUUCGUUCAUUCAUUUGAAUGCUCUUAGUUGAUAUUCUCCUACACCUUUUCCCCCAAUGCUGUAUGUAACGUAGUUCUGAA